CGCGUCGUAAGCACACCUCUAAAAGAUUAUAGUGUGCAAUUAUGAUAUUCUCAUUUACGUCAGGUCAAAGUGCAGCCUAUAAAGAGGUGAUGAUGGGUUACACUCCACACACAGAUACGAAAUAUAUAAUUAAAAAAUAUAUAAAGGUGGACUUGGACGUAAUUAAAUUUAUAUAAUUAUAUGAAAAUGAAUCUAAGACAUGUACACAUCGCCCGUCACUCUCUCCCCAAGGAGAGAUAAGUCGUAACAAAGUAGGUGUAACGGAAGUUGCACCUGU
rnacentral:rRNA from 1 species